rnacentral:lncRNA from 1 species
GAUCUCCAAAAUGAAUACCCGAGGAAGACUGAAAGAAGACAAAGCAAAUGGCAAGUCAAGACCAACAGAAUUAGCUCCACAAACCAGGUCUACAGGCGGAGUCUUUACCACUAGCACCACCUUGGAAACCUCAGAAGAAUCAAAUUAUUUUGCAUUCCAUGCUAUCAGCACCAAGCACUUCAGUCUUCUGUCUGGGAAGUGAUGUUAUCACCUGAUAUAGAGUAGGAGAGAAAGCAUUUAAAGAAGCAGAAAAGAUCUUGGUGAACUCUUGAGUGAAGAAACGUAUGUCUCACAAGCCAUAUGUCAGAAUAGUUGCACCCAGUGAGCUGUUGGAGCACGGAAGUGAACUGGGGUGCCUGACACCAGAAGGAUUUCUUUCACUACCUUGGGAUCACUGUGCUUCUCUAGGCUACUUGGUGUACAGCUUGGAGACAGGUACCUGACCAGGAAUUUAGGAAGGGCUGUGUGCAUCUGAUUAUCACAAGAAGUUUCUCAGAAGAACCAAAGUUUCUGUUUCCAAAGCCACCAGUAUCCUUGGUUUCCAUCAGUGUUCUAACUGAGAUGGGACAUAAUCCCCUCUGUAGGAUACGGGUAAGGAUUUUGUGCCUCAACCUGAAAAUGGAACAUUCAACAUUUUGGCAUAAUGAUGAGCUCAAAGAAAAGUGCUCAGUGCACCAGCCCCAAGCAUCCUGUAUCCUGCAUCAAACUUAGACUGGUGAUUCAUUUCUUAUAUGAUAUUAUACAUGUUUCAGUGCUGACCCAGAGGGAUGGUAUGGGGAGGGAUGUGGGGG